AAAUGAAUAGACGGGGCCCCGCACAAGCGGCGGAGCAUGCGGAUUAAUUCGAUGCAACGCGUAGAACCUUACCUGGGUUUGACAUGGAUCGGGAGUGCUCAGAGAUGGGUGUGCCUCUUUUGGGGUCGGUUCACAGGUGGUGCAUGGCUGUCGUCAGCUCGUGUCGUGAGAUGUUGGGUUAAGUCCCGCAACGAGCGCAACCCUUGUUCACUGUUGCCAGCACGUUAUGGUGGGGACUCAGUGGAGACCGCCGGGGUCAACUCGGAGGAAGGUGGGGAUGACGUCAAGUCAUCAUGCCCCUUAUGUCCAGGGCUUCACGCAUGCUACAAUGGCUGGUACAGAGAGUGGCGAGCCUGUGAGGGUGAGCGAAUCUCGGAAAGCCGGUCUCAGUUCGGAUUGGGGUCUGCAACUCGACCUCAUGAAGUCGGAGUCGCUAGUAAUCGCAGAUCAGCAACGCUGCGGUGAAUACGUUCCCGGGGCUUGUACACACCGCCCGU
rnacentral:rRNA from 1 species